rnacentral:tRNA from 1 species
GUAGACGUUAGCUCAGUGGUUAGAGCACAGGCCUCUGGCUCUCGGUUCCGCGAGUUCGAGUCCCGUCGUCUACU